rnacentral:rRNA from 1 species
CUGACGGAGCACGCCGCGUGAGUGAUGAGGUCUUCGGAUCGUAAACUCUGUUAUUAGGGAAGAACAAAUGUGUAAGUAACUAUGCACGUCUUGACGGUACCUAAUCAGAAAGCCACGGCUAACUACGUGCCAGCAGCCGCGGUAAUACGUAGGUGGCAAGCGUUAUCCGGAAUUAUUGGGCGUAAAGCGCGCGUAGGCGGUUUUUUAAGUCUGAUGUGAAAGCCCACGGCUCAACCGUGGAGGGUCAUUGGAAACUGGAAAACUUGAGUGCAGAAGAGGAAAGUGGAAUUCCAUGUGUAGCGGUGAAAUGCGCAGAGAUAUGGAGGAACACCAGUGGCGAAGGCGACUUUCUGGUCUGUAACUGACGCUGAUGUGCGAAAGCGUGGGGAUCAAACA